CCACACCACAGCUCAAGCAGCAGAUCAGUAGCAAAGCCAGCAGAUAGCAGAAGAGAAAUAGCAAAUGGGGAAGCGUUCGGCCAGCCACUUGCUCUUUGUGUUGCUUUGCCUGGGCUCCUGCUUGGCCCAAGCACAGAUCCUCUUCCAGGGGUUUAACUGUUAGUCGUGGAAGAAGCAAGGUGGGUGGUACAACUUUCUGGAAGGACACGUGAGUGACAUCGCCGCGUCUGGGGCCACGCAUGUCUGGCUCCCGCCGCCGUCGCACUCUACCAGCCCAGAAGGGUACAUGCCUGGUCGGCUCUACGAUCUCAACUCCUCCAAGUACGGCACGGCAGCGGAGCUCAAGUCCAUCAUCGCCGCAUUCAACGCCAAGGGCGUUCAGUGCGUGGCUGACAUCGUCAUCAACCACCGGUGCGCCGACUACAAGGACAGCCGCGGCAUCUACUGCGUCUUCGAGGGCGGCACGCCCGACACCCGCCUCGACUGGGUCCCCGACAUGGUCUGCAGCGACGACACGCAGUACUCCAACGGCCGUGGCCACCGCGACACCGGCGCUGGCUUCGCUGCCGCCCCGGACAUCGACCACCUCAACGCGCGCGUCCAGCAGGAGCUCUCCGACUGGCUCAACUGGCUCAAGUCCGACCUCGGCUUCGCCGGCUGGCGCCUCGACUUCGCCAAGGGAUACUCCGCGGACGUCGCCAAGGUGUACGUGGACAACACCAAGCCGACCUUCGUGGUCGCCGAGAUAUGGAGCAACCUGCGCUUCGACGGCAACGGCGAGCCGUCGCGCAACCAGGACGUGGACAGGCAGGAGCUGGUGAACUGGGCGCAGACCGUGGGCGGUCCUGCCUCGGCGUUCGACUUCACCACCAAGGGCGAGCUGCAGGCGGCGGUGCAGGGCGAGCUGUGGCGGAUGAAGGACGGCAGCGGCAAGGCUCCCGGAAUGAUCGGGUGGAUGCCGGAGAGGGCCGUCACCUUCGUCGACAACCACGACACCGGCUCCACCCAGAACUCGUGGCCCUUCCCCUCCGAUAAGGUCAUGCAGGGCUACGCCUACAUACUGACACACCCAGGAGUUCCAUGUAUUUUCUACGACCACGUGUUCGACUGGAACCUGAAGCAGGAGAUCAGCGCACUGGCUGCCGUCAGGUCGAGAAACGGGAUUCAUCCGGGCAGCAAGCUGAACAUCCUCGCCGCCGAGGGAGACGUCUACGUGGCGAUGGUCGAUGACAAAAUUAUCACAAAGAUUGGGUCACGAAAUGAUCUCGGGAGCUUGAUCCCGUCGGACUUCCAUGUCGUCGCACAUGGGAACAACUACUGCGUCUGGGAGAAGAGUGGCCUCAGAGUGCCAGCGGGGCGGCAUCGCUAGCUAGCUAGGCGGCCUCUAAUCGCUAUUCUUUUUUCAGGACUAUUUUAUGCCUGGAACAAGAGCUUUAAACGAGACCAAAUAAUGGGGAAUAUAUGAUUAUAGUGCGAUUUUUUUUCCUUC